ACUUUAGGGAAUGUAUUACGUAGAUAUGUACAAUUACAAGAUAGUGUUUAUGCUAAUUUUAUAUUUUUAAACAUUGGCAAUUUUGUUUUAGGGAAGGGUUCCAAAAAAAAAAAGGGGCUAGAAAAAAAAUGUUUGGAAACAAGAAGAAGAAGCCUGUAAUUUCAAAUCCAACAAAUUUCCAGCACAGAGUACAUACGGGAUUUGACCAGGGUAAAGGGAAUUUUGUUGGGCUCCCUCCUCAGUGGACUGGCCUAAUAUGUCCCCAGAAAGGCAGGCCAAAACCUAUAGUAGACUCCUCCAAUAUCACUUCAACAGAAAUGAUGAACCUGAAGUCAAAUCCACUCUUCCAUCCAGCCACUCUUCUAUCCAGCC